AAUCUUCUUUUACAGUCAUUACAUGAUGAGUCUAUGGGCAUUGAUUGCUCUGACAAGGUGAGGAUUUGGGAGAAGAAGACAGUCUCAGUAUCAUCACCUUCAUAAGGAGUUUGUAAGUGAUGCAGCACAGAUGAGUUGAGGGAGCUGGGAGAUGGAGAUAUCGCCUUGAAAUAUGGAGGCAGAGGUUAUUUCUUGUCAUACAGUAUGUACUGUUGCUUACUUCAAGAGUUGCUUGGGAGACUCUGCAAAGUCAGUAGUCCUAGAACGAUAUUUGAGAGUGAAUUGCAAUAGCAACAUAAGUAGUAACAGAAAAGGCUUUACCCUGAUUUUACAGGUUGUAUGCAUUUUAUUGUGUUCAGGACUGAGUCAUACUGUAAGGCCUUUUAAUAGCUGAAAGGAUGAAAAAAUAGAAAAACAGAGCAACCUCUUUGGUAUGAUUGUCUCCCAGUGUACAGACAUCUUUGCAUCUAAAUUUCAAAGGAAAUACAGCUUUUCUCUUAAAAGGAAUAAUAUUAAGAAAUAAUAUCUGUAGUUUAUAUGGCCCAUCUUCUGUUGCCCAUUCAUCAUUUCCAGCAAGGGAGAUGACUUUUAUGUUGGCAGAUGACAUUAAGCAACAAGUAACGCUCUGGACAGCAACCAGUCUCCCUCCAAUAAAAGGCGAAGGCAUGCGGUGGGAAGUGUGACAUGUGUGCUGCUGCUUAUAUCCUCUGGGCUUAGUUAAAGAAGAAGGUCAGGAAGCUUUAGGCAUUGCCCAGUGGUUCAUGAAAGAGAGUUAUGUCGCCUACGCAGAAGACCUAUACAGAAGAGGUUCUUCACCAUCACUACCAGAAGCACACACAAGAUCAUCCUGAUCCCACUCAGGUUAACUGUCUGGACAGCUGUGAGUCAAGCCUUCAAGCCACGCUGCUUUAUCUGAUUGGUCUCAGACUUGAUCUGGCACAUGAAAGGAAAUGUGAGGAAGUUUCAAGCAGGGAUCGUUUUGCAAGUCCAGAGCUGAGGGUGAGGUCAAGUUCACUCACAUUUUUGGAGUAUCACAUUGCAAACAUAAAGCACCGUGCAUACAGCAUGAGGGUUGGUGGAGCAGUGGUUUCAACUGCAGGAGAUCUGUGUUGCUGGAGUAUUUUCGUGUUAUUUACCAGCAUCAAUGAAAUAUACCACACUAAAGAAACAGCAGUUGCAUGUAUUUUUUAAAGGCGACCCUUCUAGGGAAUAGGCAUAUGGUGACUUUAUCUUCGUUUUGAUGUUUAACUCACACAGGUGUUGCAAGCAUCUCGUGGAGCUGCAGGGUAAUGUUAGCAUUUAGUUAAUGAGUAAGUUCUUAUUAUUCAUGUGGCAUUAAUUUAGCCCACGAUGUUACUCCUUUCCUCUUGCGGUGCGUUCAGAGUCGUGGAGAUUGCUGCAAGAAUUUAUGGGAUGGAAAAGCAGAUAUUUAACUAUGGGGCUUUUUAAAGCUGUGUGGAGUAAUAAAAUCAUUACUGUUGGAAAAGACUACCAAGAUCAUCUAGUCUGACCAUCAACCCAUCGCCACCAUGCCCUCUAACCAUGUUCCUCAGUCCUACUGACUCGACUGCCCUCCUUGCAAACAAGCUCUGUUCCAGACUCAGCCUUAGGUCGUCACUUCAUAAAAAUGGUCUCAUUUCUACUAGGGCCUCACUGAGAUUUCCCAGUCAGUCAUUUUUCUGAAGAUGUUUAAGUCUUAAAUGCGUACUUUGUUAUUCUGAAAGGCUUUAUGGCUUUGUGUAAUCAGUUUUUCUUAAAGGAGAAUUGUUGGGUAAGCUGUACAUUUCAGCAAAACCACAAUUUAAAAUUUUGUUAUCUGUUGUAACAUGCAGUAAAUUCCAUGGUUAAUGGAAGAGCAUAUUGAGCAAAAUCCUGUGCCACUCCUGAGCUCAGUUGUACCAAGUGCUCUAAAGGCUGUCUGUGUGGAACAGGUCUGCAUGCUUGUCACUGUUGCGGUGUAAAUGUUGUAUUUCUCAACAUCUACUACGGAGAAGCAGGAGUUUAUUCUCUAAGAAUAGAAAAGCAGAACAGAUAUGAGCAGCUCCCAGGGGGUCGCUGGCCAUCAGCAUUUUCACACUUAGCAUAUUCAGAUAAGUGUGGGGACCUUGUGCGUGGUAGAUGCAAAAUGUUGUACAUACCCACUUUGUUUCCUGAAGUAUUUCUACAUUUCUAGCAUUUACUUACAGCUACCUGAAAUGUUGGAAUAUAGAUGAUACAGCUGUAUGAUGAGGAAUCUUUGAAGUCUUCAGAUAUUCUCAGCUGAGCUUUUAAAAAAAAACAAUGCCCCCCCCCCAAAUAAAAAAAAAAAUAAAAAAUGAAGGCACUGAAAUGAAUCAUUCUUUCCUGAAAAUGCUAAUUAUAAAUCCCAGGAAAAUGUAAGAUUAUAAAUUGCAGAAUAUUUUAAUACCUUGC